GGGUGUAUUUAUUAAAUAAAAAACCAAUGCCCCUCGGGGCUCCUUGGUGAAUCAUAAUAACUUAACGAAUCGCAUGGCCUUGCGCCGGCGAUGGUUCAUUCAAAUUUCUGCCCUAUCAACUUUCGAUGGUAGGAUAGUGGCCUACCAUGGUGGCAACGGGUAACGGGGAAUUAGGGUUCGAUUCCGGAGAGGGAGCCUGAGAAACGGCUACCACAUCCAAGGAAGGCAGCAGGCGCGCAAAUUACCCAAUCCCGACACGGGGAGGUAGUGACAAUAAAUACUGAUACGGGGCUCUUUUGGGUCUCGUAAUUGGAAUGAGUACAAUCUAAAUCCCUUAACGAGGAACAAUUGGAGGGCAAGUCUGGUGCCAGCAGCCGCGGUAAUUCCAGCUCCAAUAGCGUAUAUUAAAGUUGUUGCAGUUAAAAAGCUCGUAGUUGAACCUUGGGUCUGGCUGGCCGGUCCGCCUCACCGCGAGUACUGGUCCGGCUGGACCUUUCCUUCUGGGGAAUCCCAUGGCCUUCACUGGCUGUGGGUGGAACCAGGACUUUUACUGUGAAAAAAUUAGAGUGUUCAAAGCAGCCUUUGCUCGAAUACAUUAGCAUGGAAUAAUAGAAUAGGACGUGCGGUUCUAUUUUGUUGGUUUCUAGACCGCCGUAAUGAUUAUAGGAUAGUCGGGGGCGUCAGU
rnacentral:rRNA from 1 species